GCUCCAUUUAAGUGUUGUUAUUCAUUCUCAGUCAAAGAUUAACUGAGCACUAACUGGGUGUCAAAUCCCACUCCAGACACCGAAACCACAAAGGCGGCUGAGAUUCGGGCUGCCCUGGAGGAACUACCGGCCGGGUAGGUGAACCGGCGUUCAGCAGACCCCAGUGGGCAGAGGACUGUGACGGCAACAAACCUGGGAGCGUGGAGGUGCGAGCGGCUCUGGCUGGGGACUCUCGGUAAAGAAACUGGCAUCUAUGAAGGAGUGUUGCUUUGCAGCAGCCUUUUGGGAGGCCAGGAUGACCCUCUGGGCCGCCAUCUGGAACUCCCCAGAAAGAGCCUGUGACAAUGGCAGCACUGGCAACCACGCCAGACUGGCACCCGGCCAGCAGUGGAGGAGGCAGUGCUCAGUCUGGGAGUCUCCACCCCGGUCAAGUGCCCCGAAGGAUAGAGACAGCCCCGUUACCAUGGUUCCCCUGAGCCAACAGAUCUCCAGUGGCCUCCCAGUGGCAGCCGGAGCUUGCGACUCUCUCAGAGUCAAAGGGAGAAGCCAUAACCUCUGAGCAUGGACCAGGCCAGGAUCUGCCCUCCAGCAGUUUCACCUGUUUCCAUCAAGGGGCAGGAAGGUACGUUGCUACAGCGUGGGGCGAAGCCCAGCUCACCCACAGGGCCUGACUCGAUGCUCCACCGCUGCAGAGCCUGCUUCUGCGUGACGCACACCCACCUUCUCAGCCCAGGUCUGCCUCGGUUCUCUGAUCACAUUUGUUUUCUAUAUCCCUCUAAAAGAACACCUCUCUGUUUCCCAGAAUAGAAAAGGCUAGAGCAGGUUCGCUGGCCAAGGAGAAGGAAAGACAAGGUUGAAGAGACAAGACAGAAAGGGUCCUGGAGAAGACAACAGGGUGGAGGGGAACACAGGGAGAGGGCCGGGGGCAAGCG